rnacentral:lncRNA from 1 species
AGCAUACACAGGGGCCUACUGUGGUGGGAACUAAGCCCCUAAACAUCGAGAAAAUAAGCAAGUGCGGAAUCCAUACAAGGGCAGGACCAGAGAAGUGAGCAGUAGACUCUUCUGGCUUUGAAAGAGAAGUCUGACCUAUUGUCAAUUGUCUAAGCAAAAACACCAUGGGAGAGAAUUGAGGACUGCAUUUAGGAGGCACUAUGAAGAG